UUUCUUGGGGAAGGUUCGUCCGCCCAAGGUUAGUCGGGAGCUAAGCUCAGGCCGAAAGGCGUAGGCGAUGCACAUACGGUAGAAAUUCCGUAACCACCGAACAUUUAAGCUAGAGGGACGCUUUCUUUAAGUCUAUCCCGGGCGAUGGUUGCCCCGGGCGUAAGGGACCGAAAUAUAGUAGGGAAGUAACUGGCGAGAGAGACGAGAAAAGCUCUAGUGUAUACUAAGGUGCCCGUACCGCAAACCGACACAGGUAGAUGGGAUGAGUAUUCUAAGGCCAACGGGAGAAGGGUUGUUAAGGAACUCGGCAAAUUGGCCCCGUAACUUCGGGAUAAGGGGCGCCUGCGAGAGCAGGCCGCAGUGAAAAGGCCCAAGCGACUGUUUAGCAAAAACACAGCUCUCUGCUAAAUCGAAAGAUGACGUAUAGGGGGUGACGCCUGCCCGGUGCUGGAAGGUUAAGGGGAGUGCUUAGCGCAAGCGAAGGUGCGAACUUAAGCCCCAGUAAACGGCGGCCGUAACUAUAACGGUCCUAAGGUAGCGAAAUUCCUUGUCAGGUAAGUUCUGACCCGCACGAAUGGCGUAACGAUUUGGGCACUGUCUCAACAGCCCGCCCGGCGAAAUUGUAGUACCGGUGAAGAUGCCGGUUUCCCGCAACUAGACGGAAAGACCCCAUGGAGCUUCACUGUAGCUUGAUAUUGGAUCUCGGUAUUCCAUGUACAGGAUAGGUGGGAGGCUAGGAAGUAAGCGCGCCAGCGUUUAUGGAGUCAACCUUGGGAUACCACUCUUGGGAUAUUGGGAUUCUAACCUGCGACCAUGAAUCUGGUCGGGGGACACUGUCAGGUGGGCAGUUUGACUGGGGCGGUCGCCUCCAAAAGAGUAACGGAGGCGCUCAAAGGUUCGUUCAGCACGGAUGGAAAUCGUGCACUGAGUGUAAACGCAUAAACGAGCCUAACUGCGAGAAUGACGGUUCGAGCAGUAACGAAAGUUGGAGUUAGUGAUCCGGCGGUAUGUGAAUGGAAAUGCCGUCGCUCAACGGAUAAAAGCUACCCUGGGGAUAACAGGCUGAUCU
rnacentral:rRNA from 1 species